rnacentral:rRNA from 1 species
CCUACGGGCGGCAGCAGUGGGGGAUAUUGCACAAUGGGGGGAACCCUGAUGCAGCGACGCCGCGUGGGUGAAGGAGCGUUUCGGCGCGUAAAGCCCUAUCGGCAGGGAAGAAGGAGGACGGUACCUUACUAAGAAGCCCCGGCUAACUACGUGCCAGCAGCCGCGGUAAUACGUAGGGGGCAAGCGUUAUACGGAUUUACUGGGUGUAAAGUGGGCGCCGAGGGCAGGGAAAGACAUGUGUGAAAGCCCGGGGCCCAACCCCGGGACUGCUCUUGGAACUGCGCGGCUGGAGUGCAGGAGGGGCAGGCGGAAUUCCUGGUGUAGCGGUGAAAUGCGUAGAUAUCAGGAGGAACACCGGUGGCGAAGGCGGCCUGCUGGACUGCGACUGACGUUGAGGCCCGAAAGCGUGGGGAGCAAACAGGAUUAGAUACCCUUGUAGUC